rnacentral:rRNA from 1 species
UACGGAGGGUGCGAGCGUUGUCCGGAAUCAUUGGGCGUAAAGGGCGCGUAGGUGGCCCGGUCAGUCUUUGGUGAAAGCGCGGGGCUCAACCCUGCGUCGGCCAGGGAUACUGCCGCGGCUCGAGCACUGUAGAGGCAGGCGGAAUUCCGGGUGUAGCGGUGGAAUGCGUAGAGAUCGGGAAGAACAUCAGUGGCGAAGGCGGCCUGCUGGGCUGUUGCUGACGCUGAGGCGCGACAGCGUGGGGAGCGAACAGG